rnacentral:rRNA from 1 species
UACGUAUGGGGCAAGCGUUGUUCGGAAUUAUUGGGCGUAAAGGGCACGCAGGCGGAUUGUUAAGUUGGAUGUAUAAUCUUCAGGCUCAACCUGAUUCUUGCAUCCAAAACUGGCGAUCUUGAGUUUUGCAGAGGAAAGCGGAAUUCUCGGUGUAGCGGUGGAAUGCGUAGAUAUCGAGAGGAACACCAAUGGCGAAGGCAGCUUUCUGGGCAGAAACUGACGCUCAUGUGCGAAAGUGUGGGGAGCAAACAGG